GAUGAACGCUGGCGGCGUGCCUAAUACAUGCAAGUCGAGCGAACGGACGAGAAGCUUGCUUCUCUGAUGUUAGCGGCGGACGGGUGAGUAACACGUGGAUAACCUACCUAUAAGACUGGGAUAACUUCGGGAAACCGGAGCUAAUACCGGAUAAUCUUUUGAACCGCAUGGUUCAAAAGUGAAAGACGGUCUUGCUGUCACUUCUAGAUGGAUCCGCGCUGCAUUAGCUAGUUGGUAAGGUCACGGCUUACCAAGGCAACGAUGCAUAGCCAACCUGAGAGGGUGGUCGGCCACACUGGAACUGAGACACGGUCCAGACGCCUACGGGAGGCAGCAGUAGGGAAUCUUCCGCAAUGGGCGAAAGCCUGACGGAGCAACGCCGCGUGAGUGAUGAAGGUCUUCGGAGCGUAAAACUCUGUUAUUAGGGAAGAACAUAUGUGUAAGUAACUGUGCACAUCUUGACGGUACCUAAUCAGAAAGCCACGGCUAACUACGUG
rnacentral:rRNA from 1 species